rnacentral:rRNA from 1 species
UUCGCCCUUAGAGUUUGCUUCUGGCUCAGGAUGAACGCUGGCGGCGUGCUUAACACAUGCAAGUCGAACGGACUUAACUUGAAGCCUAGCGAAGGUUAACUUAGUGGCGAACGGGUGAGUAACGCGUGAGAAACCUGCCUUUCAGUGGGGGACAACAGUUGGAAACGACUGCUAAUACCGCAUAAUGUCAUUUGGGGGCAUCCCUGGAUGACCAAAGAUUUAUUGCUGAAAGAUGGUCUCGCGUCUGAUUAGCUAGAUGGCGGGGUAACGGCCCACCAUGGCGACGAUCAGUAGCCGGUCUGAGAGGAUGAACGGCCACAUUGGGACUGAGAUACGGCCCAGACUCCUACGGGAGGCAGCAGUGGGGAAUAUUGGGCAAUGGGGGAAACCCUGACCCAGCAACGCCGCGUGAAGGAAGAAGGCCCUCGGGUUGUAAACUUCUUUUACCAGGGACGAAGAACGUGACGGUACCUGGAGAAAAAGCAACGGCUAACUACGUGCCAGCAGCCGCGGUAAUACGUAGGUUGCAAGCGUUGUCCGGAUUUACUGGGUGUAAAGGGCGUGUAGGCGGAGAUGCAAGUUGGGAGUGAAAUCCCGGGGCUCAACCCCGGAACUGCUUUCAAAACUGCAUCCCUUGAGUAUCGGAGAGGCAAGCGGAAUUCCUAGUGUAGCGGUGAAAUGCGUAGAUAUUAGGAGGAACACCAGUGGCGAAGGCGGCUUGCUGGACGACAACUGACGCUGAGGCGCGAAAGCGUGGGGAGCAAACAGGAUUAGAUACCCUGGUAGUCCACGCUGUAAACGAUGAAUACUAGGGGUGGGAGGACUGGACCCCUUCCGUGCCGCAGUUAACACAAUAGGGUAUUCCACAUGGGGAGUACGACCGCAAGGUUGAAACUCAAAGGAAUUGACGGGGGCCCGCACAAGCAGUGGAGGUAUGUGGUUUAAUUCGAAGCAACGCGAAGAACCUUACCAGGUCUUGACAUCGAGCGGCGAACUCAGAGAUGAGUUCUCUCUUCGGAGCGCGAAGACAGGUGGUGCAUGGUUGUCGUCAGCUCGUGUCGUGAGAUGUUGGGUUAAGUCCCGCAACGAGCGCAACCCUUAUCAUUAGUUGCUACGCAAGAGCACUCUAAUGAGACUGCCGUUGACAAAACGGAGGAAGGUGGGGACGACGUCAAAUCAUCAUGCCCCUUAUGACCUGGGCUACACACGUACUACAAUGGCCGUUAACAGAGGGAAGCAAUACUGUGAGGUGGAGCAAACCCCUAAAAACGGUCCCAGUUCAGACUGCAGGCUGCAACUCGCCUGCACGAAGUUGGAAUUGCUAGUAAUCGCGGAUCAGCAUGCCGCGGUGAAUACGUUCCCGGGCCUUGCACACACCGCCCGUCA